GUGCUCACUUCCGCAAUACAUAUGCUAAAACUGGAAUACUACAGGGAAGAUAAGCACAGAUCCUGUGCAAGGAAGAUACAUUCCAUAUUUAAAAAAAAAUUUUU